UACGAAGGGGGCUAGCGUUGCUCGGAAUUACUGGGCGUAAAGCGCGUGUAGGCGGUUGUUCAAGUCGGGUGUGAAAGCCUUGAGCUCAACUCAAGAAAUGCACUCGAUACUGGAUGACUUGAGGACCGGAGAGGAUAGUGGAAUUCCCAGUGUAGUGGUGAAAUACGUAGAGAUUGGGAAGAACACCAGUGGCGAAGGCGGCUAUCUGGACGGUUUCUGACGCUAAGACGCGAAAGCGUGGGGAGCAAACAGG
rnacentral:rRNA from 1 species